UACGUAGGGGGCAAGCGUUGUCCGGAAUCAUUGGGCGUAAAGCGCGUGUAGGCGCCAGAAAAGUCCGCUGUGAAAACUCGAGGCUCAACUUCGAGCUGUCGGUGGAAACUUUCUGGCUAGAGUCCGGAAGAGGAGAAUGGAAUUCCUGGUGUAGCGGUGAAAUGCGCAGAUAUCAGGAAGAACACCCGUGGCGAAGGCGGUUCUCUGGGACGGUACUGACGCUGAGACGCGAAAGCGUGGGGAGCGAACAGG
rnacentral:rRNA from 1 species